ensembl:lncRNA
GCCGUCGCGUGAGGAGUUUUCACUCUUCUCUGUGUCAGAGGUUAUUUAUACAUAUAGGCUAUUAUACAUACUUUAAAAAUAUAAGUUAUUUCAGUGAUGCAAAUCAGAAUUUUCAUCAGCUGUUACUCCAGUUUUCAGAGUCAUGAUCCUUAAAAAAAAUAAUUCUAAUAUAUUGAUUUAUUACCAGCGCUGGAAACAGUUUUGCUGCUUAAUAUUUUUUGGAACCUGUGACAUUUUGUUUAGGAUUCUUUCAUGAAUAGAAAGCUAAAGAGAACAUCACUAAUAGUUAAUCAACAUACUAAAAUGAUUUCGGAAGGAUUAUGUGACACUGAAGACUGGAAUACAGACUGAUGAAAUAUAUAUAUUUUGCUUUCAUUUAAAAACAACAGAACUGCUUUGAGACCCAGCUGAGGUUGUGAUGAUGCUCUGCACCACUAGAGGGAGAACAUGACAAGACCAAAUCAAGAGUCACCUUGACCAGCUGAAUAAAUGAAAGUAAAAGAAAGGAUAACAUUUUGAGGGUUUAAACCUGUGCCUGGACACUUAAGUGGCAGCAUAUUGUGGUCUGCAGUUUUUGAGACAAAAGAGCAGGAAGGCAGUGUUUCAAAAAUGAGUUCCCAUGAGAAAAGAGAGAAUGAAGACACUAUGUCUGAAAUGAGAUCUCCUUCUCCCAGAUCAAGCUGUGCAUCUUUGUCUGAUAAUUCCAUAUACAAGCUGCCCCCUGAAAUCAGUGAUGCAACAGAGACCUCCAGUGACUGCAGAAAAAACAGGAAGAAGAGAUCAAAAUCUCCAGAACCCAGCGGUGUGUCUAUGAAUAGUACAAGAUCCAUGGAUUUUGCCAUUUCAUUCAAUGAUGGAACAGUGACCUCUUCCCCACAGUUAGUAUAAAUAUUUAGUUGCUGAUUUACUGUAAUUUACCUUGAUUAAAUAAUGGUUUCAGAAACCCAAUAAACACUUAAUGUUCUCCA